CCCUGUUUAAGUAUGGUUUAAUAUUCUCUUUAUGCUUACAUGCAUAUGUUCUGUGUGGCCUAUGACCCUGAGUUCUUCAAUGCUUUGCAUAUAAUUUGAAUAUGUUUACUGCUUCGCCUUUUCAAUUAUGUCAAAAGGGGGAAUUUUGUUGUAAAGUUGGUUGUGGAAUUAGGAAGCUGGUUGUGGAAUUAGGGGUACUGAACUAAGGGGGAAUUCAUUGUAUCCUUGAAUGAAUGUUGUUACACU
rnacentral:lncRNA from 1 species